rnacentral:rRNA from 1 species
UACGUAGGGUGCAAGCGUUGUCCGGAAUUAUUGGGCGUAAAGAGCUCGUAGGCGGUUUGUCGCGUCUGCUGUGGAAACCCGAGGCUCAACCUCGGGCCUGCAGUGGGUACGGGCAGACUAGAGUGCGGUAGGGGAGAUUGGAAUUCCUGGUGUAGCGGUGGAAUGCGCAGAUAUCAGGAGGAACACCAAUGGCGAAGGCAGAUCUCUGGGCCGUAACUGACGCUGAGGAGCGAAAGCAUGGGGAGCGAACAGG